rnacentral:rRNA from 1 species
UACCCUAACCGUGCGAAGGUAGCAUAAUCACUUGUUCUUUAAAUGGGGACUCGUAUCAACGGCAUCACGAGGGUUCUACUGUCUCCUUUCUCUAAUCAGUGAAACUAAUCUCCCCGUGAAGAAGCGAGGAUAACACUAUAAGACGAGAAGACCCCAUGGAGCUUUAAACCCAAUUAUAUCCCUAACCCCUAUACCCAUUUAACCUCUUAGGCCUAUAUACUUGGUUUUAGGUUGGGGCGACCACGGAGUAAAACCAAACCUCCAUGAUGUACGGAACAACCUCCUUAUCUAAGAGCCACAGCUCUAGAAUUAGCACACUAUCAUAAAAUGACCCAUUAUUGAUCAACGAACCAAGUUACCCUGGGGAUAACAGCGCAAUCCAUUUUAAGAGCCCCUAUCGACAAAUGGGUUUAC